UUUCAGAAAUACAAGCUUGAGAACUCACCUCGAAAUGUCGCUGUUGUUGCUGUUGAAGGAAGGUGAUUAUCCGCAUCAUCAAAUAAAACGUAAUGGAUAGAGCAACCACAAGAUGUCUGAAUAGCAAGAAAAGAGUGAACUGCAACAAAUGAAGUCAAUGAAAUAGCUGUGAAGUUUCAAUGUGACUUACCAUCAAUGCGAUUGAUCGGCAAUACGAGAAGCUUCUCUCAGCCGCUUCGGUGCAAGCCGGG